CCUCUUCUAGACAAGGCAAUGGGCCGGUUGCCGGGAUGGAAGGGGAAGAACCUGGCGCGACCGGGCAGGGUCUCCCUUGCAAAGUCCGUAUUGUGCGCCAUCGCAAAUCAUCACCUCACUGCGCUCUCGCUUCCCACUUGGGCAAUCCAGAAGCUCAGUAAGAUCACUCGUAACUUCAUCUGGUGUGGGGAAGACUCGGAAAACACGUCUGGCGGACAUUCUCUGGUCAACUGGAAGACUGUCUGCCGGCCUAAGCCCAUGGGGGGGCCUGGGAAUCACUGA
rnacentral:rRNA from 1 species